UAACGGUCCCCCGCCCGUUGGUGGCAAGGCGGCUGGACUGGAAUCCCAGCAGGCGACAUGCGAGGAGGCGGGCAGCCCAGGAGGGUUGGACACGGCAAUGUGGACCUCGCCGCUUCCACAACGAUGCUGGCUACUGAUCGCGUGCACUUCCUUGCCAAAGAAAAUUUGUGCUGUGCACUAACAUGCAAUACAAAUACUGAUGAAAAUAAAACUAUUGCCCUCCUACCAAAUGAGAAAUUAAUGUUAUGACUGGAUGAAGACAAUUGUGAAGAAACUGCACUUUGAGGUUGUCUAUCUCUGUAUUCUGAUGGAAAAGCGUGGAGUUUAGAAGCACUGCUCACUCCUUCAGUUUCUAACAAGUCAGUAUUCUCAUAGCAAUUUAAAUUUAAAUGUUCAAAUUACCUCUCCUUCCCUGGUUCAGAAUAAGUAUGUUGUUUUUCUGUUUGUAAAAUUUCUGACUCUGGGUUUUUUCAGUUGGGCUUUAGAGAGGAUAACUCCCAUAUCGCUGUUGUAUCUAUUUCUCUUCAGCAUCUGGCUGCAUGUGAUAAAGAUCAUAGAAUUAGACCUGGUCCUGUAUGUAUUUUGGGACAAAAAUUCAAAGUAAUCAACUCAAGAUAGGAGUCUACAACUUUAAUUCUUAAUAAAAGAUUUCCUUUGAUUUCCCCACAUCUUUAUGAUUCCUAGUGUAGCAGGACAAGCCACAGACAAAACCCCUCAGACACCAAGUUAAAGAAGGAAGUGGUUUAUUUGGCUGGGAGCAUCGGCAAGACUCCUGUCUCAAGAGCCGAGCUCCCCGAGUGAGCAAUUCCUGUCCCUUUUAAGGGCUCACAACUCUAAGGGGGUCUGCUUAAAAGAGUUGUGAUUGAUUGAGCAAGCAGGGGGUACGUGACUGGGGGCUGCAUGCACUGGUAAUUAGAUCACAACAAAACAGGACAGGGAUUUUCACAGUGCUUUCUAUACAAUGACAAUGUCUGUGAUCUAUAGAUAACAUAACCGAUUAGGUCAGGGGUCGAACUUAAACUACCAGGCCCAGGGUGUGGUGCCGGGCUGUCUGCUUGUGGAUUUCAUUUCUGCCUUUUAGUUUUUACUUCUUCUUUGGAGGCAGAAAUUGGGCAUGAGACAAUAUGAGGGGUGGUCUCCUCCCUUACUAGAAGAAAUUCACCCAUGGGUGAAGCAUGUGGUUCUGUUGAAUAAUGUUUUGUUGGGGAUUUCCACAUCGAGUUUCAUGAGGCAUACUGUUAGACAGGGUUUUUUUGGUACUGUCUUUCCCUGAUUCUAUUGGAGAGUAAUACUAGCUUCCUAAAAUAUAUUGGGAAAUGUUCUCUCUUCUUCUACUUUUGGACAAUAUUAAACUCAUAAUGACAAGUUUUCUUGUGAAAAUGCUCUGAAAAAAAUGUAGGGUGGGCUGGGUGCAGUGGCUCACACCUGUAAUUCCAGCACUUUGGGAGGCCGAGGGAGGCAGAUCACGAGGUCAGGAGUUUGAGACCAGCCUGACUGACAUGGUGAAACCCCAUCUGUACUAAAAAUACAAAAAUUAGCCA
ensembl:lncRNA LINC02848 long intergenic non-protein coding RNA 2848